rnacentral:rRNA from 1 species
AGUGAACGCUGGCGGCAUGCCUAACACAUGCAAGUCGAACGGUAACGCAGUAAGAGCUUGCUCUUACGGGUGGCGAGUGGAGGACGAGAGCGGAAUACACCGGAAUCUACUUUUUAGUGAGGCAUAACGUUGGGUAAUAUACCCUACUACCGCCGACGACCUACGGGGGAACGCAGGGGAUCUUCGGACCUGGCGCGCUUGAGUGAGCCGAUGUCGGUUUAGGUAGUUGGUGGGGUAAAGGCCUACCAAGGCGACGAUCCGUAGCUGGUCUGAGAGGAUGAUCAGCCACACUGGAACUGAGACACGGUCCAGACUCCUACGGGAGGCAGCAGUGGGGAAUAUUGGACAAUGGGCGCAAGCCUGAUCCAGCCAUGCCGCGUGGGUGAAGAAGGCCUUCGGGUUGUAAAGCCCUUUUGUUGGGAAAGAAAAGCAGUAUGUUAAUACAGCGGGGUUAUGACGGUACCGAAAGAAUAAGCACCGGCUAACUACGUG